GGCCGCGGUAGUGUAGUGGUAGCACGCGCCCCUCGUAUGUGUGAGAUGCGGGUUCAACUCUCGGUGAAGCUA